rnacentral:rRNA from 1 species
UCGUGGGGUAGGGGAGCGUUCUGUAAGCCUGUGAAGGUGUGUCGUGAGGCAUGCUGGAGGUAUCAGAAGUGCGAAUGCUGACAUAAGUAACGAUAAAGCGGGUGAAAAGCCCGCUCGCCGGAAGACCAAGGGUUCCUGUCCAACGUUAAUCGGGGCAGGGUGAGUCGACCCCUAAGGCGAGGCCGAAAGGCGUAGUCGAUGGGAAACGGGUUAAUAUUCCCGUACUUGGUGUUACUGCGAAGGGGGGACGGAGAAGGCUAUGUUGGCCGGGCGACGGUUGUCCCGGUUUAAGCGUGUAGGUGUGUGUUCCAGGUAAAUCCGGUUCACUUUAACACUGAGGCGUGACGACGAGGCACUACGGUGCUGAAGCAACAAAUGCCCUGCUUCCAGGAAAAGCCUCUAAGCAUCAGGUAACAUCAAAUCGUACCCCAAACCGACACAGGUGGUCAGGUAGAGAAUACCAAGGCGCUUGAGAGAACUCGGGUGAAGGAACUAGGCAAAAUGGUGCCGUAACUUCGGGAGAAGGCACGCUGACACGUAGGUGAAGUGAUUUACUCAUGGAGCUGAAGUCAGUCGAAGAUACCAGCUGGCUGCAACUGUUUAUUAAAAACACAGCACUGUGCAAACACGAAAGUGGACGUAUACGGUGUGACGCCUGCCCGGUGCCGGAAGGUUAAUUGAUGGGGUCAGCGCAAGCGAAGCUCCUGAUCGAAGCCCCGGUAAACGGCGGCCGUAACUAUAACGGUCCUAAGGUAGCGAAAUUCCUUGUCGGGUAAGUUCCGACCUGCACGAAUGGCGUAAUGAUGGCCAGGCUGUCUCCACCCGAGACUCAGUGAAAUUGAACUCGCUGUGAAGAUGCAGUGUACCCGCGGCAAGACGGAAAGACCCCGUGAACCUUUACUAUAGCUUGACACUGAACAUUGAGCCUUGAUGUGUAGGAUAGGUGGGAGGCUUUGAAGCGUGGACGCCAGUCUGCAUGGAGCCGACCUUGAAAUACCACCCUUUAAUGUUUGAUGUUCUAACGUGGACCCGUGAUCCGGGUUGCGGACAGUGUCUGGUGGGUAGUUUGACUGGGGCGGUCUCCUCCUAAAGAGUAACGGAGGAGCACGAAGGUUGGCUAAUCCUGGUCGGACAUCAGGAGGUUAGUGCAAUGGCAUAAGCCAGCUUGACUGCGAGCGUGACGGCGCGAGCAGGUGCGAAAGCAGGUCAUAGUGAUCCGGUGGUUCUGAAUGGAAGGGCCAUCGCUCAACGGAUAAAAGGUACUCCGGGGAUAACAGGCUGAUACCGCCCAAGAGUUCAUAUCGACGGCGGUGUUUGGCACCUCGAUGUCGGCUCAUCACAUCCUGGGGCUGAAGUAGGUCCCAAGGGUAUGGCUGUUCGCCAUUUAAAGUGGUACGCGAGCUGGGUUUAGAACGUCGUGAGACAGUUCGGUCCCUAUCUGCCGUGGGCGCUGGAGAACUGAGGGGGGCUGCUCCUAGUACGAGAGGACCGGAGUGGACGCAUCACUGGUGUUCGGGUUGUCAUGCCAAUGGCACUGCCCGGUAGCUAAAUGCGGAAGAGAUAAGUGCUGAAAGCAUCUAAGCACGAAACUUGCCCCGAGAUGAGUUCUCCCUGAGACUUAGAGUCUCCUGAAGGAACGUUGAAGACGACGACGUUGAUAGGCCGGGUGUGUAAGCGCAGCGAUGCGUUGAGCUAACCGGUACUAAUGAACCGUGAGGCUUAACCUUACAACGCCGAAG